rnacentral:lncRNA from 1 species
GAUAAUUGAUAUCAUAACUCUUGCUUUCAAAAUGAGGCUCAUUGGGUCCUUACUAAUUUUCUCUCUAGUUUUAUCUUUUGUACAAGGAGGUUCAGCACAGAAUUGUGGAAGCGGCGCUGUGUGCGGUGAACGUGAUACUGGCCACGGGACGGAUGGCGGUGAACUGGGCAAGAUCAUCUCAAGGGAGAUGUUUGAAGACUUGCUUCCGUAUAGAAAUGAUGAACGAUGCCAUGCCAGAGGCUUCUACACUUAUGAUGCUUUUAUAGAGGCAGCCAAAGCUUUUCCAGCCUUUGGUAACUCUGGAAAUGAAACCAUGCGUAAAAGAGAAAUUGCUGCCUUUUUUGCCCAAACUGGCCAUGAAACUACUGGUUUGUUUCAAUUCCUGAUCAGCUUAAUUAAAUUUAAAGAUUCCUUUUUCCGGUGCACUAACAAGUAAUGUGCAAGUAUUAAAUUAUAAAUAAACAGCAUCACCCAAUCUCCAAUCGGUAUUUUAAUUUGUUACUAAUCAAUUUUUGUGGUUGAUAAACUUACAGGGGGAUGGCCCGAUGCACCUGGUGGAGAAUAUGCUUGGGGAUAUUGCUAUAUUAGGCAAGUUAGCCAUGGGUCCGACUACUGUUAUCCUUACUGUCCAUGUCCCUUGCCAGGGCAAUACUAUGGCCGAGGUCCAAUUCAACUCACUUGGUAGGCUGAACAUUUUGAAUUAGUAUAUCAUUGUCUGAUCUGAAUGAGAAAGUCUUGCCCUCUUGAAUUGAAAACUUGUUAAAUGUGCAUUUACAUUCUAUCCAACAUUAAUUAUUCACUAACUUGUUCGUGUACAGGAAUUGCAAUUACUUAAGGUGCGGAGAAGCCUUGGGGGUGGACUUGUUGAACAAUCCAGACCUUCUUGCCACUGAUCCAGUACUAUCAUUCAAGUCAGCAAUCUGGUUCUGGAUGACUGCACAGCCACCAAAGCCAUCGUGCCACGAAGUCAUUAUCGACGAAUGGAAACCAUCAGCAAAUGACGUAAACGCCGGCCGGCUUCCGGGAUACGGUCUAACCACAAAUAUAAUCAACGGUGGAAUUGAAUGUGGCAAAGGUUGGGAAUGACGCUGUACGUAACCGUAUUGGGUUCUUUACCACUUUCUGUGGCAAGUUUGGGAUUCAGCCUGGUGACAAUCUUGAUUGCUCCAACCAACGGCCUUAUGGCCUUAAUCUGAUGGCACAAUCUAUGUGAUCAUCAUGAUCAACGUUUUAGUAAAAUAAGCUUAAUAAAAGCUACUUAAUAAAAACUUUAGAUGUCACACUUCUAGGUGGACAACUAAACUGUUACGCUCUUAUUGUAAGUAAAUUAAAUAAGACUGAUCCAACAUGGAUCAAUGAGUCUUCUCCAUCUUUCAUCGUUUGAUUAUUUUAACAUGACAAUUAUUUGCAACGCAAAAAGUGCCGUUGACACUUAUCCUGCCUAUACAGAUAAAGGCAAUAUCCAAUUCUGUAAGCCACAUGCAUAUUCAACGGCAUUGCUAUUCAUCAUCAUGAUGCUCAUUGUGGUAGAGAUUAUAAAAUUUUGAUUAGGUCUGCUAUCCAACGUGGCUUGUCUCUCACUUGGAGGAAAUGCCUGGCAAACGAGUCAUGCAUGCAUCAAAUCAUUAUGAAGUUAGUACGCGUAUUGCUGCAGAAAUCACCCUACUACAAAGACAGCUAGAACAUUUUUGGAUACCUAAGCCCUGGGAAGUUAGUCUACCAUGUGGAUCUCAAUAAUAGAUAAUACUUUAUCAUAUAGUAGGCGACAAUAGGAAACUUCACAACAAUGAUUUCUAUUUUAAAAUUGCAUACAAUUUGCCAUAAACAAAAAUAAGGGGUUCUCUAAGAUGUUUGAACCAAUGAUUUAAUGGGGAAAAGAAUCUGAAGAAUUUACAGUUAAGUUUCACCUGUUCAUCCUACGCAUUCAUUUAUUUUUACUUCAAAGAAGGCGAAAUGAUAAUCAAGUAUCAUCUAGCAAUAUUUAAGAGUGAAAGCAACCGAUACUGAGAUGGAAGAAAGGUGAUAUACCAGACAAACAAUUUGUUUUUUGUAUAUAAUUUCAUUUCUAUAGGAUGAUACAGGUAUAUUUCAAUCAUUUAUAAGUAUGACAAUAAAAUUUGUAAUCUAAUUGUUGAGGAUGUUGAGAAAGGAGACUCUAGCUUUGAUCAAACGCCUAGACAAGGAUUAAAGGCCUUCUUCAAGAUCUUGGAUGCUGGACUCCAAUUCUUUGAGCUGGUUUUGCAAAUAAACAGUGUUAACAGAUUUGAGUGUCAAUGCGGCAUCCACCUUCUCAAACUCAUUCGUUUCUAUCUUGACUUCCUCACAAGCUAUUCUUUUGGGGCGGAUGAGUUUGGAAGCCAAUACAAACCCACUUAGCUUUGAUGGAAUCCCAGCACCCGAGAUAAAGGACAGCAAGGAUCCAAAUGCAGCUAAGGUUACUGCUUCAACCUCUUUCAACGCGCUAACAUGUUCCUCAUUGAUUAGAGAAGAGCAUUUGUUUCCCAUGCCUUGUCAAUUCGCCAAGGCCUUGUGGACUUCCUGUUUUACUGCCUUCCUAGAGGCUAUGCAUUUCUUAACCUCAGUUGCAAGUUCAAUUUCAUCUCCUCCUCUUCUGCGCAGAACUGAUUGAAGUCCUUGUGUAGAUUCCUUAAUCUGCAAGAGAGCAUUCUGAGCAAUGCUGCUAGUUUCCAAGAUCCUCAAAGAUCCAUUCAAAAGGUCAUCAACCCAUUUCUUAUGCUGGCCUUGGGCUAAAGCUUGUUGAACAAGAGGCAGUUGAAGCAUUUUAUCAACAGAAUCAUGUAAAUCUUGAAGGCCAUUUAACUCGUGGGCUAUUGAUGAAGAUAAUGAAGUAGAAGCAGCUUGAGAAUACCUUAAUCUUCUCAAAUUCUCUCCAACAUCUGAAGUGAGAGGGUGUGAUCUUGUGGGAAAGCUGUUUGAGCGAGUAUGGUAAGAGGCAGCCAUUUUUCCUUGCUGUGUAUGAAAAGACUGGAAGUUGAUUGUCAAAAUUCAAUCUAGCUCUUUUGCCUUCAUUCGGUUAACAAAUGCUAUAUAUAUAUAUAUAGACUGAGAUGAUGGGAACAAGAGGAAUCUCAUCCUCUAACAUGAUUUAGAUCUUGAUCUUAACAAUAUAUCACCUAAUUUUAUGCAAUGUCUCCUCCCACUAGCUACCCAUUUCAUUUUUUAUUCUACAAAUCACAGUAGCAUCUCUUUAUAAGCUAAUACUAUAUGGAAUUAAUGGUUCUUUGAGAUCCAUACAAAUUUGCAACGCAUGAAUGAAUUUGACUCUGUCACCUCGAAUGCAUACAAAAGAAUGCAAUACAGCUUGGCUUGCCUCCCUCUCCCUGUAGGAUAUAAAAUUAUGUUGCCGUAGGCUUUUCACAAUAUGGCUCGUUUCUCGUCAUCUACGAAAAUUAUUCAAUGUCCCUCUCCUUCCUUUCUUUCCUUUUUUUUUUUUUUUGGUUAUAAUUUUAAGUCCUUAUGCUUGAAGCCUUUUUGUUGAGCGUUCAUUUAUGCAUUUCUUCACACAUCUAUUUCCAUCAAUAGCUUUUUGUGCAAGUGCCUCGAUUAGUAAGCUAUAUAUUACACACUCUUUCAGGGUGGCUGCUUUUACACAAACCUUGCCUGGUGAAUUAGGUUGUUCCUCUCAAAAUGAUGAAAACUUAUCCCUCCACAUCUCACUGGCUGACCUCAUCCAUGUUGGUGAUCAUGACACUGAUGAAAAGAUACAGGUUAUACUUUAUUUAUAGCUAGAGUUGUCUGUUUGAAUUUUAUCAAAAUACAAGCUUCUGCUUUCCAGUUAGCAUAAAACAGGGCACAAAAUUCUCUUGGCCAAAAGGAAAUAUAGGCAGACUGAACAGACAUCAUGCUUACAUUAAUGUCUAAAAUCAAGGUCACGAAAUCGAUCCGCAGCUAUUUGACACCAAAAAUGUCACUUGGAUGCAUAAACAAUUUACUCUUAUAAGCUCCAUGAACAACUCCCAAAAUGGGCCAAAAAAAAAAAAAAAAAUCAAGAUAAACUUUUAUAUCUUACAAAGCAUGUCACAAACAUUACAGAAAUUGACAAACAAAUCAACAACAUUACAACACGUGUAACUAUUAUAAUUCUAAUUUUACCGAUUGAAGCGGUUUGUAGCCGGUUGAAAAAAGUAAGUCGGGAAGAUGAAUAAUUUCUCCUACAGCCAUUGCAACCCAAAGCGACAUGAUUUCUUCGAUCUCGCAUUCUGAGGAAACUUCCUACUUGCGCAUAUCCGCCCGCUCCGAGCGAGAAAACGAACAGAUCGAGGUCGGAAUGAGAUCCGGUGUUUUCACGUCUCACCGUAGUGCCCGGUUUGGCGGUUCAGCUUGCUUCUACGGCUCAUGUAUGAACAGCAAAACUCAUGCAGAUUGACCUGGAUGAUCCUUGGGGUUACUUUUUGAUUUUUAUGAAGAGUUUUAUCCGAUUUGUUGACAAAUAACUCAAAAAAGAAUCCCUUGUAAUUUUGAUGUGGACUAAUUGGGGAGCAAGAAAGGGUGUGCUUUUUAAAAGAUGAAGAUGCAGAGAAGGUUUUUUCUAAAGCCAAAGCCACUUCACCGUUUGUGCUGAGAGUAGUCAUCAAUGAGGUAUUAAUUUUUAACUCCAUUGAUGCAAGCUCCAAGGAACUUUUCAUGGUCGCCUGCCCCUGAAUAUUUGUAUAAAUUAAAUCUUGAAGACGUAAUGUUUGAUCAUAAAUCAAGGGGCAGGAGUUGGUGCUAUUAUAAAAAUAAAAAAUAAAAAAAAUUCAUAGUUGCUGUGAAAACCAGCUUUAAUGGCACUGAAUCGAAUUACAAAAAGGAAAAUUUCUUGCCUCCUGAAUCGAAUUCAAACAGUAACUAUGAAUUUCUUGCUUUGACCCGGUGGCCCAAGCGGUUUUCUUUCACCAGUUUUCCCAGUUUCCCAUCACUUCUUUUUUUCUGUUCAUUUCAUUCCCAUUCGUUCGAUUUUAGUGUUCACAUCUAACGGCCCUCAUUCAUGCAAUGUUUGUUACAUGAUGAUGUAACUUAACCUGACCUUUUUUACAUUCUAUUUAUAAAAAUAAAUUCAUUAUUAAAAAUUAAAAAUAUCAAAAUUACUUUUUGCUAGCUAUUUUUUAUUUUGUAAUUACAUAUUCUCUCUCUACUUUUAUAUUAUAUAAAUUAAAUUCCCAACUUUACAUUUUUUUAAAUUUAUUUUUUUGACAUUUCUUAGUAUAUUCUAAUCUAUAUUCAUACUUUAUGUAUGCAAAAUAUUUUUUUCUUGAUACUUACUAACUUUUGUGUUUAGUAAAAUUAAUUUAUUGAUAUUCAUUAAUUUUCAUUACUUAUAAAAUUUGUUAAUAUUCAUUUUAAAAUAGUGGAUUUUUUAAACUAAUGAUAUCAAUUACUUGCGGUUAAAAUAAUAUAUAUAAAUAAAUUGAUGGAAUUUAUGAAAUUGAAAAGAAAAAGAGAAGAAAUAGUUAAUUAAGUAAUUUUAAAAAAAAUAUUCAAAUAAUAUAAUUGUUAAGCGGGGGCUAUUUGAACACACCAAUUUUCUCUCUACAUUCUUUUUCUAAUUGAGAAUUUUAUUAUCUAAAUAGUUUUCAGUAAAAUUACUUAAUUAACUCUUUCUUCUCUUUCUCAUCUCAAGUUCACAAAUUCCCAUCAAUCCAUUGAGAUAUAUUCUUUUAGUAACAAAUAAUUGAUAUCACAAACUAGGGAAAACAAAAUCCACAGUUUAAAUUAAAUGUCAACAAAAUUUUAUGAGUCAUGAAAGUUAAUAAAUAUCAAGAAAUUAAAUUUUACUAAACAGAAAAUUAAUGAACAUCAAGAAAAAGUUUUUAUAUAUAAAAAGUAUGAAAUAGAGGUCAUGAUCUAUUAGAAAAGACCAAAAAUGAAUUUAAAAAAUAGUGAAACUGAGUCUUUAGUUUAUAAAAUGUGAGAAUUUGCAAUUGUCAGGUAUAGAGAGAGAUUCAUGAAAGGUAAUCUUGAUAUUUUCAAAUAGUCCCAUCUAAUAUUUGAUUGGAAAGAGCGUGUGGACAGAAAAUUAGCGGACUCAAAUAGCCCCACUCUUUCUUUAAUUUCGCAUUGACCCCGAUUAUUUUGUGAUUUUCUCCUUUUAGUCAAUAUUAAUUGUUGUUACUGGAUUUUCCCCUGAGACCUAGAGCGAGCCCAUAACGUUCAUGCUCGAGGACUUCCCUGCCCCGAGAACCAAGCCCAAUAAUCUUGAGGCCUUUGCAGGUUUAUCCAGGAAAGGUGCCUCUGCUAGGAUAAGAAAAGUCAAUUCGGGUUGUGAGUCGAUCCUCAGCCUAGUAAGUGAUGACAGCGUACAGUAAUGAUCUUUGACAAACAUCAAAAGAUCGAUUAAUAUGAAAAUGACGAUGUGCUCGUUUUGCAUUUGUUAUUCUUCAGUCACAUCCUCUUUUGCUUCUGUCUGCCUUUACAACAACAAUUUACCAUCAACCUUCAAGCAUUCUUGCACAAACAGCCAAAAAAACACCAAAUAUCAUCGCCCCACUUGCCCUUGUUUAGUUUUUUUCAAGCUCACAGCCAAUCUCAGUACACUGGGAUAAAGACUAGAAGCAGAGAACAGCCGCUGCCAGCUCUAGAAGAUGUGAAAUAAAGAAGACCAUCAAAAUCCUUAAUUAUUGCUUGUCUAUGUCAAGGUUUUAAAGAUAAACAAUCUUGAUAGGCUUUCUUACGUAAGACAUAUAGAUCCAACGAAAAUUAGAUGAAACGUUUAGACACAAGACUUUUAACUUUGAUAUCGUAUAAAGAGUAUAUUUAUAAUAUAAUCUAUUGUUUGGCACAUCGUCUCUGAGUCUCAAUAAAAAAAUUUUAAGUUUUUCGUUGCUAGCUUCUUAAAUUUUCAUGUAUUAUACAUAAUAUAUUAUGAGUGAGGAGUCAUAAACUAAUGAAUAUGGAAACUUAGGAUAAAAAGUUUGAGAUUUUUUUAAAUAAUUUAUGUAGGUAUUUUAUUUUAUAGAAGUCCAUGGACUUACUCAAAUGCUAACUAAGACUUGAGGGUUGCCUAAACUUUUAUAUACCUAACCAAAAAUUUAUUAUCAAACAAUGUGAGAUAUUAUCCCUAACCCUUAACGGUGUGGAGUACAAUCCUUAAUAACAUAUUCCUUUGAAGAAAUUAAAAGAAAAAAAACUUAGUUCGGUAUUUCAAAAAGGGGAGAUUGCCAAAUUCUCUUUAUUGUUAUUGAUAUAUAUCAUUUACCCUCUUAACGGUUUUUAUAAUAGCCAAUAACCCCUUAACAACAUUAGUUUAUAAUAUUAUUCAUAUUUUCAAAUACACUUUUAUUUUUAUUUAUUAUAAAUUAAAUAAAUCAUAUGAAUAGAAACUGAAUAAAAAAUAAGUAUUAAAAACAAUAAAUAUAUGUUUUGAUGUGAACAAAAAAAUUAGUAAUAAAAUUUUUUCUUGUACUUUUUUAUUUUCUAAACAUUUUCUUCUAAUAAAUAUUUUGUAAAUUAUAAAAUUAAAUGUAAAAAGUACAAUAACAAUAUUUUAUUAUUUAUUUUAUAAUAAUUUUUUUAUCAUUUUAUAGUAAUUUUCUUAUAUAUUUAUUAUAAGAAAAUAUUUAUAAAAUAAAAAGUAUAAGAAAAAUAAUUUAUUAUUAAUUUUUAUAUCAAAAUAUAUAUUUCUUAUUUUUAAUACUUAAUUUUUUAUUUUAAUUUCUAUUCAUAUGAUUUAUUUAAUCUAAAAUAAAUAUGAAUAAGAGUGUAAUUAAAAAUAAGGGUAAUAUUAUAAAUUUAUACAAUUAAGAGAGUUAUUAGUUAUUAUAAAAAUAAUAAGAGACAAAUGUUAUAUAUCGAUUACAGUAUUGGGAAAAUUAGCAACCUCUCUUCAAAAAACCUUGACAUAUACGUUCUAUAAAUAUAACCCUCUAGCCAAAGCUGUGACAUACACCAAGCAGAGGAUAAUUGAUAUCAUAACUGUUGCUUUCAAAAUGAGGCUUAUUGGGUCCUUACUAAUUUUCUCUCUAGUUUUAUCUUUUGUACUAGGAGGCUCAGCACAGAACUGUGGAAGCGGCGUUGUGUACGGUGGACGUGAUACCGGCCAUGGGACGCAUGGCGGUGAACUGGGCAAGAUCAUCUCAAGGGAGAUGUUUGAUGACUUGCUUGAGUAUAGAAAUGAUGAACGAUGCCCUGCCAGAGGCUUCUACACUUAUGAUGCUUUUAUAGAGGCAGCCCAAGCUUUUCCAGGCUUUGGUAACUCUGGAAAUGAAACCAUGCGUAAAAGAGAAAUCGCUGCCUUUUUUGCCCAAACUGGCCAUGAAACUACUGGUUUGUUUCAAUUCCUGAUCAGCUUAAUUAAAUUUAAAGAUUCCUUUUUCCGGUGCACUAACAAGCAAUGUGCAAGUAUUAAAUUAUAAAUAAACAGCAUCACCCAAUCUCCAAUCGAUAUUUUAAUUUGUUACUAAUCAAUUUUUGCGGUUAAUAAACUUACAGGGGGAUGGCCCGAUGCACCUGGUGGCGAAUAUGCUUGGGGAUAUUGCUUUAUAAGCGAAGUUAGCCCUCCGUCCGACUACUGUGAUCCUAACUAUCCAUGUCGAGGGAAGUACUAUGGCCGAGGUCCAAUUCAACUCUCUUGGUAGGCUGAACAUUUUGAAUUAGUAUAUCAUUGUCUGAUCUGAAUGAGAAAGUCUUGGCCUCUUUAAUUAAAAACUUGUUAAAUGUGUAUUUACAUUCUGUCGAACAUUAAUUAUUAACUAAUUUGUUGGUGUUUAGGAAUUACAAUUACUUACGGUGCGGAGAAGGCCUAGGGCUAGGAGAGGAGUUGUUGAACAAUCCAGACCUUCUUGCUACUGAUCCAGUACUAUCAUUCAAGUCAGCAAUCUGGUUCUGGAUGACUGCACAGCCACCAAAGCCAUCGUGCCACGAAGUCAUUAUCGACGAAUGGAAACCAUCAGCAAAUGACGUAAACGCCGGCCGGCUUCCGGGAUACGGUCUAACCACAAAUAUAAUCAACGGUGGAAUUGAAUGUGGCCAAGGUGGGAAUGCCGCUGUACGUAACCGUAUUGGGUUCUUUACCACUUUCUGUGGCAAGUUUGGGAUUCAGCCUGGUGACAGUCUUGAUUGCUACAACCAACGACCUUAUGGCCUUAAUCUGAUGGCACAAUCUAUGUGAUCAUCAUGAUCAACGUUUUAGUAAAAUAAGCUUAAUAAAAGCUACUUAAUAAAAACUUUAGAUGUCACACUUGUAGGUGGACAACUAAAUUGUUAGUUUGUUACGCUCUUAUUGUAAGUAAAUUAAAUAAGACUGAUCCAACAUGGAUCAAUGAGUCUUCACCAUCUUUCAUCGUUUGAUUAUUUUUUUGAGUUUUUUUGUUAAAAUUUUGUACGUUUGUGGUUAGUUAUUUUAACAAAAUAAUUAGUCGAGAAAGGUAAAUGUUUUGGGGGUGAGAAAUACCACGAUCAGGCACACGAGGAGAAUGUGCUCCCUCUGCCUAGAAUGACUCCUUGAGGAAGAUUAGACCCGAUGAAGUGUGUGGCUGGUCACACGAGUAGAGUUGGCUCGAGACAUGCAAGGAGGGACCAGAACCAAGUCAAUUCGAAGACUUGGUCAAAGGUCAACCCGUGGGUUUCCUCCAAAGAAUUUGGGCACAAAGCUCACUCACCAGCAGUUACACUGCCCAUUCGCCCAUGGUUAUGUAAUCAACCCAUCAACGAAGUCGAGGGAGAAGAGGCUAAUAAUUCUGGUUGGAUAUGAAAGCUUCAGAGAACAGAGUUAAGGGAGUUAGACAACUUUUCAUUUAAUUUUCUCAUACUCUCAAUCUAUUCACAAUUUUAUCUUCUCUAUCAUUCUUUCUUUCUGAAAUAAAACCUUUCUUUUAUUUAGAGCAGUUUAAUUACGCCAUGGGAAUCGUGACCUAAGUUUUUCUAGGCAAACCCAAAUCGCUGACUUGAGCGUCGGAGGGAUUACGGUGGAAAAACCUCUAGCAUCUCCUGACUAGUUGUUGUGAACACAUGUGUUCUUGGAGGAAGUAUUUGAGGUCACAUGAACUUGUUCGAUACUGGGGAAGCUAGGGGCAGAUCCAGGAUUUUAAAGUACCCCGAGCUAAAUUUUUUAUAAAAAAAAGUUAUAUUGUAAAGUGAACAUAAAAUUUUAUAAGAAAAAAAUAAAAUACACAUAAUAAGAUGAGAACAUUAGAAAUCUUACACUAAAUAAUAAUUACUUUAAAUAAAAUAAUUAUAUAAAAAUAAAAAAUAAAAAUAUAAUUCAAAACAAAAAUAUAACUAAAGUUGUAUUUUUCGCAACUUCAAACAAUAAAGUUCAUCAAUUAUGGAUUUUGGAUCAAUAGUAUCUGCAAUUUCUCUUUCAGCAUAGACAACCAUACAAUUAGAAAGAAACUCAUUUUCUAUUUUAUUGCAAAGUGAUGUCUUGAUAAGGCUCAUGGUUGAAAAUGCAUGCUCUGUUUGUGGCUGCAAAUGAAAGGAAUUUCUUGACUUGGAUUUAUCGGACACAUUAUACCUAUAAAUUACCAUAACAUGAAACUACAUAAGAAUUAAUAAAUUAAUUAAUAAUUACAAGCUUAAUUAGCAUGCUUAAAUAAAUUAAACAAUUCAAUUUUUUUCAUCUUUUCUAUUUCUAAAAAAUAUUAUUAGUAAAAAAAUGAGAUGAAGAUUACACGAAAUUGCAGAUACUAUUAUUAGUAAACAAUUCACACUUGACUAACAUGCAAACAACACAUUGAGUCCUUGCCAAUUCCAAGACUUGCGAUAACCAGUUGCACAAUAUAUAAACAAAUUUUUAGAAAUACAAAUCAUGAAAUUUCCCCCCCAAAAAAAAAAAAAAAAAAUCCAAUUUGUAUUGAGCCAGCCAUUGUGAUUAAGCUUUCUAAAUUCUAAUAGCAUUUGAGUGAAUUUUAAAAAACGAUAUACCAGAUUAAACUUACUAAAAUAUUAAAAAAAUAGAAAAUCAAAUUACAUACGAAACCCUAGAUUGUUACUUCAAUCAAAAUAAGUACCUUCUAAUAAUUUUAAAUGCAGAUUUGAGAACUCAAAAAUACCACAAUUGAAUUCGAGUGUUAUUAAUUAGGGUUUUAAUGAGAAUGAAAAACACUGAGGAAACUGGGAACGUGCAGGAUAAAAAGCAUUACCAGUGGAAGCGUAAGAUAGAGAACGGCAAGUUAACGUGCGCCUCGAGGAAUAGAGAUAGAGAGAGAGAGAGAGACGAGCACCCCAAGCACUGUAAGUAACUGGGAGUGGAGAAAUGGCACGAGUGGAAAAUAAAGGGGUCGUUUGGUUUUGUCGUCUUCUACUUUUGUUUUGUGUUUUUUUUUUUUUUUAAAUGAGCGUGGGUAUCUGAAUCAUCCAAUUUUUUUUUAUAUUCUAUUUAUAAAAAUAAAUUCAUUAUUAAAAAUUAAAAAUAUCAAAAUUACUUUUUACUAAUUAUUUUUUAUUUUAUAAUUACAUAUUCUCUCUCUACUUUCACAUUCUAUAAAUAAUUUUUAAGUAAUUUUUUACAAAUCAUUCAGAUAAUAUAAUUUUUAAGAGUGAGGUUAUUUGAAUCCACCAAUUUCAUCUCUAUAUCUUUUUCUAAUUGAGAAUUUUAUUAUCUAAAUAGUUUUUAAUAAAAUUACUUAAUUAACCCUUUCUUCUCUUUCUUAUUUCAAUUUCACAAAUUCUCAUUAAUUCAUUGAGAUGUAUUCUUUUAACUGCAACUAGGAAAAAUAAAAUCCACAGUUAAAAUUGAAUGUCAACAAAUUUUUAUGAGUCAUGAAAGUUAAUGAAUAUUAAGAAAUUAAUUUUUAGUAAACACAAAAGUUAAUGAAUAUCAAGAAAAAGUUCUUAUAUAUAGAAAGCAUGAAAUAAAGGUUAUGAUCUACUAGAAAAGACCAAAAAUGAAUUCAAAAGAUAGUAAAAUUGAGUUUUUAAUUUAUAGAAUGUGAGAAUAAAAAGAGAAUAUGCAAUUGUAAGGUAUAGAGAAAGAUUAAUCGAGGAUAAUCUUGAUAUUUUCAAAUUUUAAAAUUUUAAUAAUGAAUUUAUUAUUUUUUAAAAAUAGGUAUAGAGAGAAAUUUGGUGGGAUCAAAUAGUCCCACCUAAUAUUUAAUUAGAAAGAUGGUGUAAGGAGAAAAUUGGCAGAUUCAAAUAGCCCUACUCUUUCUUUAAUUUUGCAUUGACCCCGGUUAUUUUAUGAUUUUCUCCUUUUAGUCAAUAUUAAUUGUUGUUACUGGAUUUUCCCCUGAGACCUAGAGCGAGCCCCUAAUGUUCAUGCUCGUGGACUUCCCUGCCCCGAGAACCAAGCCCAAUAAUCUUGAGGCCCUUGCAGGUUUAUCCAAGAAAGGUGCCUCUGUCAGGAUAAGAAAAGUGAAUUGGGGUUUUGAGUCGAUUUUCAGCCUAAUAACAGCGUACGGUCAUGAUCUUUGACAAACAUCAAAAGAUCGAUUAAUAUGAAAAAAUCCAUCACAAUAACCAUGUGUAUGAGUGUGAGUGUGAGUGUGAGUGUGAGCGUGAGUUAUUUUAAUUUCUAGGCAUUUAUUGAAUGAAAUUGACGAUUGCUCGUUUUGAAUGUGUUAUUUUUCAGUCACAUCCUAUUUUUGCUUCUAUCUGUCUUUACGACAAAAUUUUAUCAUCAACCUGCAAGCAAUCAUGCACAAGCAGCCAAAAAAAAACCUAUUAUCAUCGCCCCACUGGCUCUUAUUUUCAAGCUCAAAACCAAUCUCAGUACAUUGGGAUAAGGCGAGAUGCAGAGAACAGCCACUGCCAGCUCUAGAAGAUGUGAAAUAAAGAAGACUAUCAAAAUCCUUAAUUAUCGCUUGUCUAUAUCAUGGUUUUAAAGACAAACAAUCUUGAUGGGCUCUCUUACAUAAGACGUAUAGAUCCAAUGAAAACUAGAUCGAAACGUUUAGACACAAGACUUUUGCUUUGAUAUCAUAUAAAGAGUAUAUUUAUAAUACAAUGUAUUAUUGUUUGGCACAUUGUCUCUAAGUCUCAAUAAAAAAAUUUAAGUUUUUCGUUGUUAAGUUCUUAAAUUUCAUGUAUUAUACAUAAUAUAUUAUGAGUUGGGAGUCAUAAACUCAUGAAUAUGGAAACUCAGGAUAAAAAGUUUGAGUUUUUUUUUAAAUAAUUUAUUUAGGUAUUUUUUUUAUAGAAGUCCAUGGACUUACUCAAAUGCUAACUAAGUCUUGAGGGUUGCCUAAGCCUUUAUAUACCUAACCAAAAAUUUAUUAUCAAACAAUGUGAGAUAUUAUCUCUAACCCUCAAUGGUGUGGAGUACAAUCUUUAAUGACAUAUUCCUUCGAAGAAAUUUAAAAAAAAAAAAAAAAAAACUUGGUUAGGUAUUUCAAAAAGGGGAGAUUGCCAAAUUCUUUUUAUUAUAAUUAAUAUAUAUCAUUUACCCCCUUAACUGUUUUUAUAAUAGCCAAUAACUCCUUAACAACAUUAGUUUAUAAUAUUAUCCUUAUUUUCAAAUACACUUUUAUUUUUAUUUAUUAUAAAUUAAAUAAAUCAUAUGAAUAGAAACUGAAUAAAAAAUAAGUAUUAAAAACAAUAAAUAUAUGUUUUGAUGUGAACAAAAAAAUUAGUAAUAAAAUUUUUUCUUGUACUUUUUUUAUUUUCUAAACAUUUUCUUCUAAUAAAUAUUUUGUAAAUUAUAAAAUUAAAUGUAAAAAGUACAAUAACAAUAUUUUAUUAUUUAUUUUAUAAUAAUUUUUUAUUUAUCAUUAAAGUUUUCUUAUAAUAAUUUUUUUAUCAUUUUAUAAUAAUUUUCUUAUAUAUUUAUUAUAAGAAAAUACUUAUAAAAUAAAAAGUACAAGAAAAAUAUUUUAUUAUUAAUUUUUAUAUCAAAAUAUAUAUUUUAUAUUUUUAAUACUUAAUUUUUUAUUUUAAUUUCCAUUCAUGUAAUUUAUUUAAUCUAUAAUAAAUAUGAAUGAGAGUGUGAUUGAAAAUAAGGGAAAUAUUAUAAAUUUAUAUUAUUAAGAGAGUUAUUAGUUAUUAUAAAAAUAAUAAGAGAUAAAUAAUAUAUAUUUAUUACAGUAUAGGAACAAUAAAAUUCUUCAAAAAACCUUGACACAUACGUUCUAUAAAUAUAACCCUCUAGCCAAAGCUGUGACAUACACCAAGCAGAGGAUAAUUGAUAUCAUAACUGUUGCUUUCAAAAUGAGGCUUAUUGGGUCCUUACUAAUUUUCUCUCUGGUUUUAUCUUUUGUACUAGGAGGCUCAGCAGGGAACUGUGGAAGCGGCGUUGUGUGCCCAGGAGGGGAGUGUUGUAGUCGAUUUGGUUGGUGUGGCCUAACAACAGACUACUGUUGUGAAGGCUGCCAAAGUAACUGUAAUCAGGUUGUUUGCGGUGAAUGUGAUCCCGACGACGGGACGGCUGGUGAUGGCGGUGAACUGGGCAAGAUCAUCUCAAGGAAGAUGUUUGAAGACUUGCUUGAGUAUAGAAAUGAUAAACGAUGCCCUGCCAGAUGCUUCUACACUUAUGAUGCUUUUAUAGAGGCAGCCAAAGCUUUUCCAGCCUUUGGUAAUUCUGGAAAUGAAACCAUGCGUAAAAGAGAAAUUGCUGCCUUUUUUGCCCAAACUGGCCAUGAAACUACUGGUUUGUUUCAAUUCCUGAUCAGCUUAAUUAAAUUUAAAGACUCCUUUUUCCGGUGCACUAACAAGUAAUUAAAUUUUAAUUUGUUACUAAUCAAUUUUUGUGGUUAAUAAAC